AUUAAUACCCUAUGACACUUUUAAGUCACAUGACUUUUAAGUCAAAGCGUUUAGCGGUAUUAGAUGGUCUCGCGUCCCGUUAGCUAGUUGGUGAGAUAAUGGCUCACCAAGGCAACGAUGGGUAGCCGGCUUGAGAGAGUGAACGGCCACACUGGAACUGAGACACGGUCCAGACUCCUACGGGAGGCAGCAGUGGGGAAUCUUGCACAAUGGAGGGAACUCUGAUGCAGCGACGUCGCGUGAACGAUGAAGGCUUUCGAGUCGUAAAGUUCUGUCCUAUGGGACGAUAAUGACGGUACCAUAGGAGGAAGCCCCGGCUAACUACGUGCCAGCAGCCGCGGUAAUACGUAGGGGGCGAACGUUGUCCGGAUUUAUUGGGCGUAAAGGGUACGCAGGCGGCCAUAUAAGUCAGAUGUGAAAGGCCAAGGCUUAACCUUGGUUAGCAUUUGAAACUGUGUGGCUUGAGUUAAGGAGAGGAAAGUGGAAUUCCUGGUGUAGCGGUGAAAUGCGUAGAUAUCAGGAGGAAUACCAGUGGCGAAGGCGACUUUCUGGACUUAUACUGACGCUGAGGUACGAAAGUGUGGGGAGCAAACAGGAUUAGAUACCCUGGUAGUCCACGCCGUAAACGAUGAGUGCUAGGUGUCGGGGGUCAAACCUCGGUGCCGCAGCUAACGCAUUAAGCACUCCG
rnacentral:rRNA from 1 species